AGAGUUUGAUCCUGGCUCAGGAUGAACGCUGGCGGCGUGCCUAAUACAUGCAAGUCGAGCGAACAGACGAGGAGCUUGCUCCUCUGACGUUAGCGGCGGACGGGUGAGUAACACGUGGAUAACCUACCUAUAAGACUGGGAUAACUUCGGGAAACCGGAGCUAAUACCGGAUAACAUGUUGAACCGCAUGGUUCAACAGUGAAAGACGGUCUUGCUGUCACUUAUAGAUGGAUCCGCGCCGCAUUAGCUAGUUGGUAAGGUAACGGCUUACCAAGGCGACGAUGCGUAGCCGACCUGAGAGGGUGAUCGGCCACACUGGAACUGAGACACGGUCCAGACUCUUACGGGAGGCAGCAGUAGGGAAUCUUCCGCAAUGGGCGAAAGCCUGACGGAGCAACGCCGCGUGAGUGAUGAAGGUCUUCGGAUCGUAAAACUCUGUUAUUAGGGAAGAACAAAUGUGUAAGUAACUAUGCACGUCUUGACGGUACCUAAUCAGAAAGCCACGGCUAACUACGUGCCAGCAGCCGCGGUAAU
rnacentral:rRNA from 1 species